rnacentral:RNase_P_RNA from 1 species
AGAGUAAGCGGGAAGAUCGCCCCCCCACCUGUUGCGAUGGCCGUUUAGGCCAUCCAGCAGAGCGUUGCGUUGUUUUAGCAACGCUGCAACAGGUGGGGGGGAGGAAAGUCCGAACUCCACAGGGCAAGGCGUUUGAUGUUAAAUCAGACCUCUCAUUUCAGAUGAGAGAGGGAAAGUGCCACAGAGACAAUACUACCCCGACGUGACGUCUGGGGAAAGGUGAAAAGAGAGGAGAUGUCCUUCGGGGCUACUCUUCUCCCCCCCACCUGUUGCGAUGGCCGUUUGGGCCAUUCAGCAAAGCGUUGCGUUGCUUUAGCAACGCUGCAACAGCUGGGGGGGUGGAAAACCCCGCCUGGAGCGAGAUCAAAUAGAGGACGAGGGGGCUGCCCGCCCAUUGUUCCGACCUAACGUCGGGGCGAGUCCCGGGUGUGAUCGCACGAGAGAAAUGAUCUUCGCCCAGCCUAUUUAAAAAGGUGGCGUUGCGAAAAAUAGAAUUUUCGAUAGAAUUUAUGUGUGCGAUCGCAAUGGCCAAACAUUAAUUUUAAAAUAGGCUGGGUACAGAAUUCGGCUUACAAGCUUACUCUCUAC